GCCGCGGUGGCACAACCUGGUACUGCGCUGGAUUGCUAAUCCAGUUUCCUUCGGGAUAUAUGGGUUCAAAUCCCAUCCGCGGCG
rnacentral:tRNA from 1 species